GACGAACGCUGGCGGCGUGCUUAACACAUGCCAGUCGAACGGAAAGGCCCUGCUUUUGUGGGGUGCUCGAGUGGCGAACGGGUGAGUAACACGUGAGUAACCUGCCCUUGACUUUGGGAUAACUUCAGGAAACUGGGGCUAAUACCGGAUAGGAGCUCCUGCUGCAUGGUGGGGGUUGGAAAGUUUCGGCGGUUGGGGAUGGACUCGCGGCUUAUCAGCUUGUUGGUGGGGUAGUGGCUUACCAAGGCUUUGACGGGUAGCCGGCCUGAGAGGGUGACCGGCCACAUGGGGACUGAGAUACGGCCCAGACUCCUACGGGAGGCAGCAGUGGGGAAUAUUGCACAAUGGGCGGAAGCCUGAGGCAGAAACGCCGCGGGCGGGAUGACGGCCUUCGGGUUGUAACCCGCUUCCGCCUGUGACGAAGCGUGAGUGAGGGUAAUGGUAAAGAAGCACCGGCUAACUACGUG
rnacentral:rRNA from 1 species